UACGUAGGGUGCGAGCGUUAAUCGGAAUUACUGGGCGUAAAGGGCGCGUAGGCGGGAUGGCAAGUCGGUCGUGAAAUCCUUCGGCUCAACCGAAGAACGUCGGCCGAUACUGCCGUUCUUGAGGGAUGCAGAGGAGAUUGGAAUUCCCGGUGUAGCGGUGAAAUGUGUAGAGAUCGGGAGGAACACCGGUGGCGAAGGCGGGUCUCUGGGGCAUCUCCUGACGCUGAGGCGCGAAAGCGGUGGGGAGCAAACGGGG
rnacentral:rRNA from 1 species